AAAGAGCCCACGCUCACCGUGGGGGCCCCGUCACAAUGGGCAAAUCCACAGCGACCGCCACGGCUUUGGGAUGGCGGCAGCAUCGUGCCCAUGGCCACUGGGCACCCAGGGGUGCUCCGGGAGUGGCUGCGGGGGGACCAGCCUCUGCCCAGCCGGCUCGGGGAGGUCCCUCACGGGCUGCUCUUCCUCAGUGCCUUUGGUCCGGAGGUGGAGCAUGCGAGGGGUCACAGCUCAACGUGGGCCAUGGAACAGGGCGUCACGGCCACCUACGAGGAGUGGAGAGGGACCGACAUUGGCACAGCAGAGAAUCAUGGAAUCCCAGACAUGUUGAGGAGAGGAUGCCCUUGAAGGGAGUAUUGAAAGGGGACUCUCAGGCUUUCCCAGAGCACACAGAGCAUUUCCCAGUCUGGAAUACAGGAAACAUUGGACCGAGGCCAUGCAGCCAAAGGGAGGCAGAGCAGGGCUGCUGGGCUGCAGCUCAAGCCUGUCCUAGGCGGAAGUGGCAAGGAAGCAGAGACCAACACAGCCUCCUUGGAUAGGGGAUGCCCUUCUGUGCAAUGACAGC